UGGAUGAUACAUUUAAAUCAUAGCUUGUAGGUAAGAUGGUAGUCAUUUGUUCUCCAGUGUAAUUCAAGAUUCGUUAUUUGAGUUGUGUGAUUCCAUAGUUUAGGUAUAAAUCUAUGGUUCUUACCAGGAAAGUAUCUUUGUUAGGGAACAACAUAAGAAGUUAUCAGUAGUUAAGAUGGAGUUCGUUGCAGCCAAUCAAGAGGGUUAGAGUGUUCAACGCUGAAAAAUGGAACCAGGCCACUGGUGGUGACUGGAAUUUUUACAAAAUUUGGUUGUAAGAACAAUAGAGAUGCAAUUCGUAAGACUUGGAUGGGAAAUGGUAAUGUACUAAUCUUGAUUUUGUUUGGUUGUAUUUUGGAUUGUAGUGCUGAUUUCUGUAUUUGCCUAUCCCUAUAUUGUUUCUCUGAGUUUUUCAUAUUGGCUUCUUGUAAUUGAAGUUCAUUCCAUGUUAUUGUUCUUUUAUUUGUGUAAUGUACACAAUGCUGAUAUAAGAAUUCACCCUUUGUGCCUCUAGCUGUUAUCGGUAAACCCCAAGUUAACUUCUUUGAUUGGUUCUAUUGUAUUUAUCUUGAACAAUAUGUAUUACAAUGCAGGUAUUGGUACCCUUUUGGCAAACUAUGAUGAUCUCAAAAUAUUUCAAGACCCUGGUAUUGCUUAAGUUGUCAUGUAACUAGAUCAAGGCCAUGAUCUACUGCAAAGUUUUCUCUCAACCCUCCCUCAGCUAGCACAUAUGUAAAGUAUGAUAUAUCAAUCUGCUGAAAAGAUUUCAUUCACAUGCAAGAGAAUCAUCGCCCUGCGCACGUAUAAAGAACCUUGAGAGAAAAAGUUACUGGAGAUGAUGAGCAUGUGCAUACGUGUGAAGCUUGUAAUUAAGAGAGGACUGAUCUAACUAACUGAUUUAAAGUCCUGGCCCUUCGUUGAAUGACUCUAAGCACCCGAGGGAAUUCUAGAAUGAGUACUGGACUACCAGCACAAUUGACACUGUAAGUUGGAAUGUAAGUUGUUAUGGUCUACUACUAAUAACAUCUUUGAUUUUGGUUCCGUUUUCUUUGUUGUAAUUAAAAAAUGGAAAAUGCAAAAAAUGACGGGAUAGUGAGAGAUGAGACUUUGGCUAUUAGUUACAUUAUUGUCACACACACACACACACACAGACACAUAGGCUGAAUGCAUAGAGACAGUGAACUGAGAAUCAAUACUGAAAUUUCAAAGGUUGCUUUCAGUUCCUAUUUCUUAAUAGCUCAUGUUUAUUGAAUGUUGUGAGUUCUGACUAAGGGUGCCUAUUGUGUAUUUUAGACUUUAGCUUGUUAUCGGUCUAUUUACUGAACCAGAAUUACUUCAAAGUUAGAGAGAAGGGGUUAUUUAUGGGAUGUAUGGUUGAAACUAAAGGCCAAGCUCAAGAGUUGGAAUGGUCGAGGAGUUGAAAAGUGAAUGGUUCUUUCAAGAACCCAGUUAGCAGUUUCAAUGGCUGUGAGAAGUAUAAUAGACCAUUGUGGACAAUCAUUGCAUUAGAAUAGGCAUUAUGUGUGUUCAAGAAAUUAGCAUGUUAUCAACCAGUGAGCUGAGUUUCAUGUCGACAUCAAAAGAAAGCCAAAAAUCAUUGUUUGUGGGUUAAUUCUAGCAGAAUUUGUAUCAUUAUUAUAAAGGGAAAAAACAUUGUUGGCUGAGAUAUGAAGUGCUCUUGUAAUUUUAGUAAUGUCACAUUGUAUUUUGGUUACUUUU